GGUCGGGUGGCGUAAUGGUAGCGCGUGGUCCUCCUAUUGAUCCACUUCCAUAAUUGCACCGCGUUAAAUGGAGCAAAAAUCUUAUUGGGAAAGAAAAUAGAAUAGACUGAGGUUGUGGGUUCGAUUCCCAUCUCGAUCG